rnacentral:rRNA from 1 species
GACGAACGCUGGCGGCGUGCUUAACACAUGCAAGUCGAACGGAAAGGCCCUGCUUUUGUGGGGUGCUCGAGUGGCGAACGGGUGAGUAACACGUGAGUAACCUGCCCUUGACUUUGGGAUAACUUCAGGAAACUGGGGCUAAUACCGGAUAGGAGCUCCUGCUGCAUGGUGGGGGUUGGAAAGUUUCGGCGGUUGGGGAUGGACUCGCGGCUUAUCAGCUUGUUGGUGGGGUAGUGGCUUACCAAGGCUUUGACGGGUAGCCGGCCUGAGAGGGUGACCGGCCACAUUGGGACUGAGAUACGGACCAGACUCCUACGGGAGGCAGCAGUGGGGAAUAUUGCACAAUGGGCGGAAGCCUGAUGCAGAAACGCUGCGGGCGGGAUGACGGCCUUCGGGUUGUAAACCGCUUUCGCCUGUGACGAAGCGUGAGUGACGGUAAUGGGUAAAGAAGCACCGGCUAACUACGUG